CCUACGGGAGGCAGCAGUGGGGGAUAUUGCACAAUGGGGGGAACCCUGAUGCAGCGACGCCGCGUGGGUGAAGAAGCGCCUCGGCGCGUAAAGCCCUGUCAGCAGGGAAGAAAAUGACGGUACCUGAAGAAGAAGCCUCGGCUCACUACGUGCCAGCAGCCGCGGUAUUACGUAGGGGGCCAGCGUGAUCCGGAUUUACUGGGUGUAAAGUGGGCGCAGACGGCGAAGCAAGCCAGGAGGGAAAGCCCGGGGCCCAACCCCGGGACUGCUGUUGGAACUGCGUGGCGAGAGUGCAGGAGGGGCAGGCGGAAUGCCUGGUGUAGCGGUGAAAUGCGUAGAGAUCAGGAAGAACACCGGUUGCGAAGGCGGCCUGCUGGACUGCAACUGACGUUGAGGCCCGAAAGCGUGGGGAGCAAACAGGAUUAGAUACCCGGGUAGUC
rnacentral:rRNA from 1 species